UACGUAGGGGGCGAGCGUUGCCCGGAUUCACUGGGCGUAAAGCGCGUGUAGGCGGUUCGUUAAGUCGGAUGUGAAAUCCCACGGCUCAACUGUGGAAUUGCAUCCGAUACUGGCGAACUUGAGGACGGUAGAGGUCGGUGGAAUUCCCGGUGUACCGGUGAAAUGGGCAGAUAUCGGGAGGAACACCAAUGGCGAAGGCAGCUCGCUGGGACGUUACUGACGCUGAGACGCGAAAGCGUGGGGAGCAAACAGG
rnacentral:rRNA from 1 species